rnacentral:rRNA from 1 species
AGAUUGAACGCUGGCGGCAUGCCUAACACAUGCAAGUCGAACGGGAGUAGCAAUACUCUAGUGGCGGACGGGUGAGGAAUACGUAGGAAUUUGCCCUUAAGUGGGGGAUAACCCGGGGAAACCCGGAUUAAUACCGCAUGACCUCGAAAGAGCAAAGUGGGGGAUCGCAAGACCUCACGCUUUUGGAGAAGCCUACGUCGGAUUAGCUAGUUGGUGAGGUAAUGGCUCACCAAGGCGACGAUCCGUAACUGGUCUGAGAGGAUGAUCAGUCACACCGGAACUGAGACACGGUCCGGACUCCUACGGGAGGCAGCAGUGGGGAAUAUUGGACAAUGGGCGCAAGCCUGAUCCAGCAAUGCCGCGUGUGUGAAGGAAGGCCUUCGGUUGUAAAGCUACUUAAGUUAGGGAAAGAAAAAACGUACGACGUACUAACACAGUAGAGUCGUUGACGUACCGACAGAAUAAGACGACCGACUAACUCUGUCG